rnacentral:rRNA from 1 species
GUGCCAGCAGCCGCGGUAAGACGAACCGUGCGAACGUUGUUCGGAAUCACUGGGCUUAAAGGGCGCGUAGGCGGACUCGCAAGUCUGCGGUGAAAGCCCCCAGCUCAACUGGGGAAGUGCCGUGGAUACUGUGAGUCUGGAGGAGGGUAGGGGCAUCUGGAACGCUGGGUGGAGCGGUGAAAUGCGUUGAUAUCCAGCGGAACUCCGGUGGCGAAGGCGAGGUGCUGGACCCUUUCUGACGCUGAGGCGCGAAAGCCAGGGGAGCAAACGGGAUUAGAAACCCCCGUAGUCC